AGCAUAUCAAUAAGCGGAGGAAAAGAAACCAACCGGGAUUGCCCUAGUAACGGCGAGUGAAGCGGCAAGAGCUCAAAUUUGAAAGCUGGCUCCUUCGGGGUCCGCAUUGUAAUUUGCAGAGGAUGCUUCGGGAGCGGUCCCCAUCUAAGUGCCCUGGAACGGGCCGUCAUAGAGGGUGAGAAUCCCGUAUGGGAUGGGGUGUCCGCGCCCGUGUGAAGCUCCUUCGACGAGUCGAGUUGUUUGGGAAUGCAGCUCUAAUUGGGUGGUAAAUUUCAUCUAAAGCUAAAUAUUGGCCGGAGACCGAUAGCGCACAAGUAGAGUGAUCGAAAGAUGAAAAGCACUUUGAAAAGAGAGUUAAAAAGCACGUGAAAUUGUUGAAAGGGAAGCGCUUGCGAUCAGACUCGCUCGCGGGGUUCAGCCGGCCUUCGGGCCGGUGUACUUCCCCGCGGGCGGGCCAGCGUCGGUUUGGGCGGCCGGUCAAAGGCCCCUGGAAUGUAACGCCUCUCGGGGCGUCUUAUAGCCAGGGGUGCCAUGCGGCCUGCCCGGACCGAGGAACGCGCUUCGGCUCGGACGCUGGCAUAAUGGUCGUAAGCGACCCGUCUUGAAACACGGACCAAGGAGUCUAACAUCUACGCGAGUGUUCGGGUGUCAAACCCGUGCGCGCAGUGAAAGCGAACGGAGGUGGGAACCCCUCGGGGUGCACCAUCGACCGAUCCUGAUGUCUUCGGAUGGAUUUGAGUAAGAGCGUAGCUGUUGGGACCCGAAAGAUGGUGAACUAUGCCUGAAUAGGGCGAAGCCAGAGGAAACUCUGGUGGAGGCUCGCAGCGGUUCUGACGUGCAAAUCCAUCGUCAAAUUUGGGUAUAGGGGCGAAAGACUAAUCGAACCAUCUAGUAGCUGGUUCUGC
rnacentral:rRNA from 1 species